rnacentral:pre_miRNA from 1 species
AUGGGGAUUGCUGGAUUAUAUGUUGAUUCUAUUUUUAAUUUUUUUAAAGAACUGCCAUAUUGUUUUCCAAAGCAAAUGUACCAUUUUACAUUCCUGUCAACAGU